GAUGAACGCUGGCGGCGUGCCUAAUACAUGCAAGUCGAGCGAACAGACGAGGAGCUUGCUCCUCUGACGUUAGCGGCGGACGGGUGAGUAACACGUGGAUAACCUACCUAUAAGACUGGUAUAACUUCGGGAAACCGGAGCUAAUACCGGAUAAUAUAUUGAACCGCAUGGUUCAAUAGUGAAAGACGGUUUUGCUGUCACUUAUAGAUGGAUCCGCGCCGCAUUAGCUAGUUGGUAAGGUAACGGCUUACCAAGGCAACGAUGCGUAGCCGACCUGAGAGGGUGAUCGGCCACACGGGAACUGAGACACGGUCCAGACUCCUACGGGAGGCAGCAGUAGGGAAUCUGCCGCAAUGGGCGAAAGCCUGACGGAGCAACGCCGCGUGAGUGAUGAAGGUCUUCGGAUCGUAAAACUCUGUUAUUAGGGAAGAACAAAUGUGUAAGUAACUAUGCACGUCUUGACGGUACCUAAUCAGAAAGCCACGGCUAACUACGUG
rnacentral:rRNA from 1 species